UAUGUGUGGCCGGGAUAAGUGCUGAAAGCAUCUAAGCACGAAGCCCCCCUCAAGAUGAGAUUUCCCAUUGCGCAAGCAAGUAAGAUCCCUCAAAGACGAUGAGGUAGAUAGGUUCGGGGUGGAAGCGUGGCGACACGUGUAGCUGACGAAUACUAAUCGAUCGAGGACUUAACCAA
rfam:Planomicrobium glaciei strain CGMCC 1.6846 genome assembly, contig: Ga0070170_123